rnacentral:rRNA from 1 species
AGUGAACGCUGGCGGUAGGCCUAACACAUGCAAGUCGAACGGCAGCACAGUAAGAUCUUGCUCUUACGGGUGGCGAGUGGCGGACGGGUGAGGAAUACAUCGGAAUCUACUUUUUCUGGGGGGAUAACGUAGGGAAACUGACGCUAAUACCGCAUACGACCUACGGGUGAAAGCAGGAGAGCUUCGGACCUUGCGCGAUUGAAUGAGCCGAUGUCGGAUUAGCUAGUUGGCGGGGUAAAGGCCCACCAAGGCGACGAUACGUAGCUGGUCUGAGAGGAUGAUCAGCCACACUGGAACUGAGACACGGUCCAGACUCCUACGGGAGGCAGCAGUGGGGAAUAUUCGACAAAGGGCGAAAGCCUGAUCCAGCAACACCGCGUGGGUGAAGAAGGCCUUCGGGUCGUAAAGCCCUUUUGUUGGGAAAGAAAAGCAGUAGGUUAAUACACCGAUGUCCUGACGGUACCCAAAGAAUAAGCCACGGCUAACUUCGUG